rnacentral:sRNA from 2 species
AGAGUUGGUGGCUAGGGUUCCGGCGUUUUCAAAAAAGCGCGACUGGUCCGAGAGCUACUACCGGCGGGGGAGAAAUCCUGUCGGGUGCACGGCGGGACAAAAGCCCGGGAGAC